CGUUUGCCAAGGAUGUUUUCAUUAAUCAAGAACGAAAGUUAGGGGAUCGAAGACGAUCAGAUACCGUCGUAGUCUUAACCAUAAACGAUGCCGACCAGCGAUUAGGAGACGUUGAAUACAAAACACCGCUGUUAAUCCUUUCGGGGGUUAAUAGUUGG
rnacentral:rRNA from 1 species